GCCUGGUGCAGUGGCACACGCCUGUAAUCCCAGCAGCUGGGGAGGCUGAGACAGGAGGAUUGCGAGUUCAAAGCCAGCCUCAGCAACGGGCAAAGUGCUAAGCAACUCAGUAAGACCCUGUCUCUA
rnacentral:sRNA from 1 species